GUGCUUAUUCUUUUAAUUCGUACGUUAAUGUCAACAACAGUGAGCGAUAAGAAACGUCGGAGACGCUCGACUAUCGCACAGCGUGUGAAGUGCGAAAGAAUGACCGAAUCGCCGAGUGCACAUGUACGUGUCUCGCCUUUGUGUGCGUGCACAUCUCUCCUCACAAUUCGUUCUUUUAAAUAAAGGAAGAUUCCGGUCUUCAGGCCACCGAUUUUGCUGAAUUUUUGUUACAAUGUAGUAUUAAUAUAGAUGUAACAGCAUAUAGCAAUAUAUUAUUCGGAAAUGAUGUAUUUUAAAACUAUUGAUGAGAAA